rnacentral:rRNA from 1 species
AUAUGGUCAAGCGAAUAAGCGCACACGGUGGAUGCCUUGGCGGUCAGAGGCGAUGAAGGACGUGGCAGCCUGCGAAAAGUAUCGGGGAGCUGGCAACAAGCUUUGAUCCGGUAAUGUCCGAAUGGGGAAACCCACCCGCUUGCGGGUAUCCUGCAGUGAAUACAUAGCUGCUGGAAGCGAACCUGGUGAACUGAAAUAUCUAAGUAACCAGAGGAAAAGAAAUCAACCGAGAUUCCGUAAGUAGCGACGAGCGAACGCGGACUAGCCCUUAAGCUGAUUUGGUUCUAGGAAAACGCUCUGGAAAGAGCGGCCAUAGAAGGUGAUAGCCCUGUAUCUGAAAGGGCCAUUUCAGUGAAGACGAGUAGGGCGGGGCACGUGAAACCCUGUCUGAACAUGGGGGGACCAUCCUCCAAGGCUAAAUACUACUGACCGACCGAUAGUGAACCAGUACCGUGAGGGAAAGGCGAAAAGAACCCCGGAGAGGGGAGUGAAAUAGAACCUGAAACCGUGUGCGUACAAGCAGUAGGAGCUCCGCAAGGAGUGACUGCGUACCUUUUGUAUAAUGGGUCAGCGACUUACUGUUCGUGGCAAGCUUAACCGUAUAGGGGAGGCGAAGGGAAACCGAGUCUGAUAAGGGCGCAUAGUCGCGGGCAGUAGACCCGAAACCGGGUGAUCUAGUCAUGCCCAGGGUGAAGGUGCGGUAACACGCACUGGAGGCCCGAACCCACUCCCGUUGCAAAGGUAGGGGAUGAGGUGUGAUUAGGAGUGAAAAGCUAAUCGAACCCGGAGAUAGCUGGUUCUCCUCGAAAGCUAUUUAGGUAGCGCCUCAUAUGUAUCCUCUCGGGGGUAGAGCACUGUUAUGGCUAGGGGGUCAUCGCGACUUACCAAACCAUUGCAAACUCCGAAUACCGAGACGGACUGUAUGGGAGACACACGGCGGGUGCUAACGUCCGUCGUGAAAAGGGAAACAACCCAGACCCACAGCUAAGGUCCCAAAUUUUGUGCUAAGUGGAAAACCAUGUGGAAAGGCACAGACAGCCAGGAGGUUGGCUUAGAAGCAGCCACCCUUUAAAGAAAGCGUAAUAGCUCACUGGUCGAGUCGGUCUGCGGGGAAGAUUUAACGGGGCUAAGCACAGAACCGAAGCUUGGGGUGCAUAACUUUGUUAUGCGCGGUAGAGGAGCGUUCCGUAAGCCGUUGAAGGUGGAUUGAGAAGUCUGCUGGAGGUAUCGGAAGUGCGAAUGCUGACAUGAGUAACGAUAAUGCGGGUGAAAAACCCGCACGCCGAAAGCCCAAGGUUUCCUUGCGCAACGUUAAUCGGCGCAGGGUGAGUCGGCCCCUAAGGCGAGGACGAAAGUCGUAGUCGAUGGGAAGCAGGUUAAUAUUCCUGCACCUCGCGUAAGUGCGAUGGAGGGACGGAGAAGGUUAGGUGUACCAGGCGUUGGUUGUCCUGGGGAAAGGCGGUAGGUUUGGAUCUUUGGCAAAUCCGGGAUCCUUUAAGACCGAGCACCGAGACGAGCCUUUAAGGCGAAGUCACUGAUACCACGCUUCCAGGAAAAGCUCCUAAGCUUCAGCUUACGCAGACCGUACCGUAAACCGACACAGGUGGGUAGGAUGAGAAUUCUCAGGCGCUUGAGAGAACUCGGGUGAAGGAACUAGGCAACAUGGCACCGUAACUUCGGGAGAAGGUGCACCCUUUUUGGUGGCUCGUGCGAGCUAUAGCUGAAGAGGGUCGCAGUAACCAGGCCGCUGCGACUGUUUAUCAAAAACACAGCACUCUGCAAACACGAAAGUGGACGUAUAGGGUGUGACGCCUGCCCGGUGCUGGAAGGUUAAUUGAUGGGGUCAGCCGCAAGGCGAAGCUCUUGAUCGAAGCCCCAGUAAACGGCGGCCGUAACUAUAACGGUCCUAAGGUAGCGAAAUUCCUUGUCGGGUAAGUUCCGACCUGCACGAAUGGCGUAACGACAGCGGCGCUGUCUCCACCCGAGACUCAGUGAAAUUGAAAUCGCUGUGAAGAUGCAGCGUUCCCGUGGCAAGACGGAAAGACCCCGUGAACCUUUACUAUAGCUUUACACUGAACGUUGAGUUCGUCUGUGUAGGAUAGGUGGGAGGCUAUGAAACUGUGGCGCUAGCUGCAGCGGAGCCAUCCUUGAAAUACCACCCUGUCGUGCUUGACGUUCUAACCUGGGCCCAUUAUCUGGGUCGGGGACCGUGUAUGGUGGGUAGUUUGACUGGGGCGGUCUCCUCCUAAAGAGUAACGGAGGAGCUCGAAGGUACGCUCAGCGCGGUCGGACAUCGCGCACUGUGUGCAAAGGCAUAAGCGUGCUUGACUGCAAGAUCGACGGAUCAAGCAGGUAGGAAACUAGGACUUAGUGAUCCGGUGGUUCUGUAUGGAAGGGCCAUCGCUCAACGGAUAAAAGGUACUCCGGGGAUAACAGGCUGAUACCGCCCAAGAGUUCAUAUCGACGGCGGUGUUUGGCACCUCGAUGUCGGCUCAUCACAUCCUGGGGCUGUAGUCGGUCCCAAGGGUAUGGCUGUUCGCCAUUUAAAGUGGUACGCGAGCUGGGUUCAGAACGUCGUGAGACAGUUCGGUCCCUAUCUGCCAUGGGCGUUGGAGAUUUGAGAGGGGCUGCUCCUAGUACGAGAGGACCGGAGUGGACGAACCUCUGGUGUUCCGGUUGUCACGCCAGUGGCAUUGCCGGGUAGCUAUGUUCGGAAGCGAUAACCGCUGAAAGCAUCUAAGCGGGAAGCGCGCCUCAAGAUGAGAUCUCCCGGGGCACAAGCCCCCUGAAGGAACCAUGUAGACUACGUGGUUGAUAGGUCAGGUGUGUAAGUACAGCAAUGUAUUGAGCUAACUGAUACUAAUGAUCCGUGCGGCUUGACCAUAUAACCUCAAGUUGCCUUGGCUUUACGACA